UACGUAGGGAGCAAGCGUUGUUCGGAUUUACUGGGCGUAAAGGGCGCGUAGGCGGCAAUUCAAGUCACUUGUGAAAUCUCCGAGCUUAACUCGGAACGGUCAAGUGAUACUGCUUUGCUAGAGUGCGGAAGGGGCAAUCGGAAUUCUCGGUGUAGCGGUGAAAUGCGUAGAUAUCGAGAGGAACACCUGAGGUGAAGACGGGUUGCUGGGCCGACACUGACGCUGACAGCGCGAAAGCUAGGGGAGCGAAUGGG
rnacentral:rRNA from 1 species